rnacentral:misc_RNA from 1 species
GUAGCGAGGAAUAAAUUUCAAGGGGAAAGAGGGCCGUUUUCUCUUGCACAGGAUAAGCAAAUGGCACCGCACGAUCUCCGCCGUCCGUUCAAGAGAGCGGCGAUCUCCGAUCAGCAGAGACGGAGGGAUCUGACGCUGCAGCGACAAGCUCAGGGCCGCCGCGAUGCUCAACAACAAGCUCGGUGCUUGGCCUCCACUGUCCUCUCUCUCCUAUCCCAAAGCACACAACCCGAAUAUGAGCCGGACAUCGAACUCGAACCCGAAUCGCUACCCGAUUUACUGCCUGAACAAGAAGAAUCCGGAGCUUCGUCAAAGGAUCUCGACGUCCGUCAUGCGUCGAAGCUCAAAGGAGCGGAGGCUCGCAAGUGGUUCGCUAGGCAGCUAAUGCUUCCGGAGUGGAUGAUCGACGUCCCUGAUUACUUGGCCCGAGAUUGGUAUGUAUUUGCAAGGCCAGCUGGAAAACGAUGCUUUGUUGUUUCUUCUAAUGGAACCACAGUUAGUAGGCAAAGGAAUGGCUCCAUCUUGCAUCGUUUCCCAUCUGCUUUACCAAAUGGGGCUAAGACUAGAGAUGUAUCGGGGCCUUCUCAAUCUUACUCUAUUCUGGACUGCAUAUUCCAUGAGCCGGACCAAACUUACUAUGUGAUAGACAUGGUUUGCUGGCGCGGUUACUCUCUUUAUGACUGCACCGCUGAGUUCAGGUUUUUUUGGUUGAACUCGAAGCUUGGAGAGACUGGGGCUUGUAGUCCUCCUUCUUUUUACCAUAAAUACAGAUUCAGUACAGUUCCCAUUUAUAAUUGUGACCAGAGUGGUCUAUCGUCUGCGUAUACAGGAGCAUUGCCUUAUGUUAAGGAUGGUUUAUUGUUCUAUAACAAGCAUGCACACUAUCAAACAGGAAAUACACCACUAGCAUUAGUCUGGAAAGAUGAGAACUGUAGUCAGUAUGUUAUUGACACAGAUAGUAAAGGGCAGGUUCCAAGCCAACAACAGGUAGUUUUGGAGCUACAAGAUGAUGGAAAAUUGAUUACAUCUGAUGAUCCUCCUGUGGUUUUUGGCUGCUUGGAUUUGGAUUUUAUUCAAAAGACAGGGCUGCAUUCAGGAAAUCUUUUACGUUUUGCUAUUAGUGAUGGAGGGUUGAGUUUUGUGGAUGGAAAGCUUGAGAAGGUGGAUUUACACUAUCUUGGCAAAGUCAAUUGGGCACG